CCUGUCUGCGAGCUUCCCUCCUCAAUUGCUCACAUCUGCUUGUCUCCAGCCUUCCGACCUCUCUCAUUCUGCUCUCAGGAGAAAGGCAUGUCCCCUCCAGAAAGGCUAAUUACCUGCCCCUUUCCACAUUUCCAUGUGCCUGCACAUAUGCUGGUGAUAUGCACUCGGGGCACAGCGAGCGAGCACAGUGGGGAGUGGGAUGCUGAGCAGAAAAUAAUCACUCUGAUCUCACAAAAGUUCCCAGAGGAAUGUCUGAGGGGGAUGCAUGUGUGUUUUCUAGUCCUAAAAUAAUUUUAAUUUCUGUUUUAUGCUUCAUGAGGUCAUGAAGUGGACAAGCCUUCAGAGGACUGUGCUCCAGUUGACAGCCGUGUACUCUCUAGACUCUGACACUUCCAAAUAAGAGACUAAUUUAUCUUAUCAGUUACAACCAUAAAAUAGGGUAAGUGAUGGAAAUGGAUUAAAACCCAUAAAACUGAGAGAAGCAAGACAGCCGUGAUGCAGGAAGUGACAGACACUGCCCUGUGGGGUCCUGCUGACUUUGAAGAAGCUUGUAGAUAGUUUACUGCUGGCUCCACAAAGUGUCUCUUGUCACAGUAUCGUUCCUGUGAGUCUUGAGCAUCCGGAGAAGCUCAGGGAAUAUGCUUUCCCAGAUCCCUCUUCCCUGCCUUGGUACAAAGAUGACAGAGGUAUCAGUUUUUAAGAGCCAGAAAGCCUGGCUGUAUACUGAAGAGUGUACUUGCCUGCAGAGCUGUGGCAAAUGCUUCUACAAGCAAUUUUCCAUCUGCCUGAGAAAUUAUGCCCAUGUAAUGCCUAACAUUUCUGGAUGAUUUUGAAAGCAGCAUGGAAAAACCUGGGUGGUGGAUAUUCAAUUAAUUGCAAAACUCUAAAAUGUCCACAGUUUAUAGUCCCUAUUCUAAAGGAUGCAAUGGCAGCUUGAUGUGAGUGCUAUUUCACUGAUGUUAGUGGAGUUGUACCAAUCAGUGGAAACAGUUGGAGUGUAGAAUGCAGUUAGCAGCUGUAUCUCCUCCCAACAGCAGGUCAAAUGCAUCUCAGCAGUCAAAAGCAGCAGAAAGGACGGGAGAUCAGCAGAACAAAUGUUAGAAAUAUAAAAUCUCUGUAAUUUAGACUUAAUAGCAUUGGGAUUGUUCAUUAGGGACAGUAAAAGAGACAAAUAAACAGACAGAGAGAAAGAUGAACUACUUACAAGCAGCAUAUACAGUGGAGUAAUAAAUCCUUCCACUGGCUCAUUCAAGGGCUCUCUGAAUAGAUUGUGGUUUCCCUCUUUAACUUCUCAGGCAUUUCUUUUGAAACCUCUGUACUACCACAGAAGCCUACAGAACAUUGUCCAAAGGUGAGACUGACGAUCCUCGAUUUUCUUCCAAGCCCAUUUACUAGCAACCCAAAUCUCUGUUUAAAAGCCUAUUUGCUUUGGAGAUGCUGGCAAAUCGAACGUGGAAGGCUGCAGAAUCCCUCUCCUUUUAUUUCUCUAUUUUUUUCCCCUCUGUGCUCAUUUUGUGGACAUGAUCUCAGAGUGAAAUACAUGUGGUCAUAGGCAACUUACUGAAGCUUGUGAUUUCAAUAACAUUUUAGUAGGGAAGAGGAAACAUGAAGGCUAGGAUUAGCAUGCAGCAGUUUGCCUCCUGUGUUCAUGUUGGUCCAGAUCUUUUCUUUUCUACUGUGGGAUAUAUUUGUGGUGAGCAUUGCAUUUGAAGAACUUACGCCUAACUGGAAGCACAUGGAUAGCCCAAUAGUUUUCAUUUACUGUGUUAAGCAAUAAGCGUAUAGAUCUUGUUAAACGUGGGUUGUCAGCAGGGGUAAAAGGUGCCAGGCUGAUACUGCUGUAGAUUGCAACGUUCUAGUCAAAAGGGGAGGCUAAGCAACAAGAGUACCCAUUUCCCAUGCUACCCUUGUUAUCUGUAGAUGGGACACACCUGGGUUCACCAUAACUUAGGGAAAGCCUUUUUUCUUUGUCAUUUCUGUUAAACGGUUAUGCUGACCCAAUCUGUUCCUUCUGCAUCUGGUGCAGUGGGAAGAGUUACGAGGUUGCAGUGCCCGUGCAGCAGAAUGCUGCUGUAAACCACUGCCUUUUAGUGACGGCCUUGGGAAAGCAGAAAGCUACCACAGGCAGUGAUUUCCACUGUAUCCUCAGUCACCUGCCUCAGCUGGAGUUGUCUUUGUCAUAAUCCCUGCCGUGGUUUUGACCUGAACUAGACAGCUUCUCCAAGCCACAUCUCUCAUCUCUUUUUCAGUCUCCUCCUCUACCCCAGGCAUUUCCAGAACCCCUGGAUUAAAAGAUGAUUUUCUUGGGUCUGAACAGGUCUCAGUGGAUCUAGAAACACAGGCUGUUCAGUCUGCUUAGAAAAUCAUGCAUCUUCUUAGACAUCCAACUGAGGAUACAGACACCUAUGUUUAGAGCUCUUCUUUCCCCUCUGCUUUGAAAACAGUUGCUUUGUGUUGUGAAACUUAGGUGAGCCUUUGGCAGAAAACAUCUUGUAAACCAAUCUCCUCAGCUAAUUUCAGUCCAGCACAGGAACAGUGAGCUUGCUAGGUUUUGUUUUCCAUUUUUCCCCCUCUGGAGAGGAAAUUGUGAGUCAUGGUUCCAGCCAUCUGAAACAUAACAACGUGGAUAGCCAGAUCAACAAACAGCCUAGCAGAAGGCCAUGAAAGGAGGGGGGAAUGACAGCCAAAUGUCCUUGCCUGAGCAAAUGCAGCUAGCAAAACUUUGUUGUCCAAGCUCUUCAGAUGCCAAAUGUGUUCACUGAGUAAAUAAGGCAGCUGGGUUGUUCCUUUUCAGGAAAAAGCACAGGAAAAAAGAUUCCUGCAGUAGGUGACAGGCAAAGAAGCUGUCAGAGGAGAAUGUGCUGCACUCUGCACCGAAACCCAGCUUGCCAGAGAUUUAACUUCACUCCAUGCAUUCCACUACCGCUCGGGUGUUCUUCCAGCUUGACCUGCUCUUCUUGCUCUCUGAGCAAGCUUUUUGUCCAGGCUUUCUCAAGAAUGCUCUCAGAUACUGAACAGCAGUUUGUUCUCUGGGGCUUUUUCACCCCUUAACAGCCUUUUUGGUCACGAGUUCAUCUUUCCACUGGUAUUGCACUUCAAGAACAGACAUGGAAAAAUGAAGUCAGGAGAUAACGUGCAGUGCUGUGUAAUGAGGGCACCAGCACUGAGAUGUUUCUGGAUUUUUUUAGAAGUGCCAAAUAAAUUCUGUUCCAUAAAAAUGUCAAGAAGCCAAUUUAAAGAAAAGGGAAGAAAGCUUCACAAUGAGUCACUGCUCUGUAUGUUCUGAAAAUUUCAAUAAAAAUAAGCAGCUCCCCCAAAGCUGUAUCCUCUUUGCAGAACGGAGCUUAUAAGUUGGCUGGGGCUCUGCACAAGUCUGGGAGAGAAAAUAACCGUCUUUCAUUAGAAAGGCCACUAAUGCAUCAGACAGACUAAUAGUGCUACAGAGACCUACAUGCUGUGUGUGUCCAGAGCCAGUGGAACAUGACCACCUAUCCAGCCCAUUCUUCUGUCAUACCUGGAACUCACUGUUUCAUCACAGUCAAGCUUUUAUCCCACAGUUUUUUCACUACCCUGAAUGUCUCCCAUGUGACCCAGUCCAGCUUUGUCUGAUCAGCCACGUGAAAAGCGCUUAAGGCCAGCAACAACUCAUGAGACCAAAGGAAGCCUCAGCCAAACAAAUGCGCACCUUCACAGCCGUGAUGCUCCAUAGAAAGAAACAUGCGGUGAUACGCAAGACGUGUUAAUUUUCUCUCAGAAGGAUACAGAUAAAAGCAGAUGCUGGGGGGCAAUAAAUUAUGCUUUUUGUAAUUUUC